ACGCAUUCAGGAGAGCUGGCAGCGUGGCCAGCGCAAGAGUCUGCUUUAAUGAAAGCAUGCAAAUGGCCCUACUCCCAGUGUGGGUCCCCUCCCUGGCAGCCUGCAGGCCUACAGUCUAAAAGGACCGGAGCUGCCUGAUCGUGGCGCCGACUGCCUCAUCUUCAGCUUCUGCAGCCUCAGUGGCUGGCGGAGGGUGGCAGCCGUAGAAUCGCUCCUUGAGGAAAACCGUUCCAGCAAAAGCAGUUCUGACUUGGAGACUGUGGGGUUGGUCACAUCCAGAUGAAACUUAAUCAGUAUUGGUACCACAUUGCCACUGACUGCCUGUA